rnacentral:rRNA from 1 species
UGGGGAAUUUUCCGCAAUGGGGGCAACCCUGACGGAGCAACGCCGCGUGGGGGAGGAAUGUCUGUGGAUUGUAAACUCCUUUUCUCAGGGAAGAAGUUCUGACGGUACCUGAGGAAUCAGCAUCGGCUAACUCCGUGCCAGCAGCCGCGGUAAGACGGAGGAUGCAAGCGUUAUCCGGAAUUAUUGGGCGUAAAGCGUCCGUAGGCGGUUUAUCAAGUCUGCCGUUAAAGACUGCAGCUUAACUGUGGGCGAGCGGUGGAAACUGAUGAACUAGAGUGUGGUAGGGGUAGAGGGAAUUCCCAGUGUAGCGGUGAAAUGCGUAGAUAUUGGGAAGAACACCAGUGGCGAAGGCGCUCUGCUGGGCCACAACUGACGCUGAGGGACGAAAGCUAGGGGAGCGAAAGGGAUUAGAUACCCCCGUAGUCC